UGAAAUGUAGCAUAUUUAUGCGAUAAAAUUUGAAUUUAUUCAUAGUAAUUAACCUUUACUCAUUUCAA
rnacentral:tRNA from 1 species